rnacentral:rRNA from 1 species
AUUGAUUUUAUGCUUGCAUAAAUGAUUUUUGGAUUCGGAGCGAGUGGCGAACUGGUGAGUAACACGUGGGUAACCUGCCCUGAAGCGGGGGAUAACAUUUGGAAACAAGUGCUAAUACCGCAUAAUUAGUUGGAACCGCAUGGUUCCAACUUGAAAGAUGGCUCUGCUAUCACUUUGGGAUGGACCCGCGCCGUAUUAGUUAGUUGGUGAGAUAAAAGCCCACCAAGACGAUGAUACGUAGCCGACCUGAGAGGGUAAUCGGCCACAUUGGGACUGAGACACGGCCCAGACUCCUACGGGAGGCAGCAGUAGGGAAUCUUCCACAAUGGACGAAAGUCUGAUGGAGCAACGCCGCGUGAGCGAUGAAGGUUUUCGGAUCGUAAAACUCUGUUGUUAAAGAAGAACAAGUGUUAGAGUAACUGUUAACACUUUGACGGUAUUUAACCGGAAAGCCACGGCUAACUACGUGCCAGCAGCCGCGGUAAUACGUAGGUGGCAAGCGUUGUCCGGAUUUAUUGGGCGUAAAGCGAGCGCAGGCGGUUUUGUAAGUCUGCUGUGAAAGCCCUCAGCUCAACUGGGGAAGUGCAGUGGAAACUACAAAACUUGAGUACAGAAGAGGAAAGUGGAACUCCAUGUGUGGCGGUGAAAUGCGUAGAUAUAUGGAAGAACACCAGUGGCGAAGGCGGCUUUCUGGUCUGUUACUGACGCUGAGGCUCGAAAGCAUGGGUAGCGAACAGGAUUAGAUACCCUGGUAGUCCAUGCCGUAAACGAUGAAUACUAGGUGUUGGAGGGUUUCCGCCCUUCAGUGCCGCAGCUAACGCAUUAAGUAUUCCGCCUGGGGAGUACGACCGCAAGGUUGAAACUCAAAGGAAUUGACGGGGGCCCGCACAAGUGGUGGAGCAUGUGGUUUAAUUCGAUGCUACGCGAAGAACCUUACCAGCUCUUGACAUCUUCUGCCAACCCAAGAGAUUGGGCGUUCCCUUCGGGGACAGAAUGACAGGUGGUGCAUGGUUGUCGUCAGCUCGUGUCGUGAGAUGUUGGGUUAAGUCCCGCAACGAGCGCAACCCUUAUUAUUAGUUGCCAGCAUUUAGUUGGGCACUCUAGUGAGACUGCCGGUGAUAAA